GACGAACCGUGCGAACGUUGUUCGGAUUCACUGGGCUUAAAGGGCGCGUAGGCGGUCAGCACAAGUCAGUUGUGAAAUCUCCGGGCUUAACUCGGAAAGGUCAACUGAUACUGUGCGACUAGAGUGCAGAAGGGGCAACUGGAAUUCUCGGUGUAGCGGUGAAAUGCGUAGAUAUCGAGAGGAACACCUGCGGCGAAGGCGGGUUGCUGGGCUGACACUGACGCUGAUGCGCGAAAGCCAGGGGAGCGAACGGG
rnacentral:rRNA from 1 species